rnacentral:lncRNA from 1 species
UAUAGAGCCGUGCACAUUCAUUGAUUGCAACUGGGGAUUCAGUUGAUUUUGUUGGGACUGCAAUUGAGGAAUUGGAGGGUGGGGAAGUUGUCCUAUUCUUCCGUGUCGAUGCAUGAUUAGUGCAGAUGAUACAGUGACAGGCAAUGCUGAUGAGGAAAACAAAUGAAUACAGAAGCUCAACGUGGGGAAAUUACAGAUAAUCAUGCAUGAACAGAUAAUCCGGAAGCAAUUGCAGAGACAAUGUACCUGCUGUAACUUGGCAGCAAUUCUCUGAUACAUUUCAUUUAUUUCAGGGAAAUAAGUCUCCUUCAUGACUUUGAUCU